rnacentral:rRNA from 1 species
AGCGAACGCUGGCGGCAGGCCUAACACAUGCAAGUCGAACGAACCUUUCGGGGUUAGUGGCGGACGGGUGAGUAACACGUGGGAACGUGCCUUUAGGUUCGGAAUAACUCAGGGAAACUUGUGCUAAUACCGAAUGUGCCCUUCGGGGGAAAGAUUAAUCGCCUUUAGAGCGGCCCGCGUCUGAUUAGCUAGUUGGUUGAGGUAAUGGCUCACCAAGGCGACGAUCAGUAGAUGGUCUGAGAGGAUGAUCAGCCACAUUGGUACUGAGACACAGCCCAAACUCCUACGGGAGGCAGCAGUGGGGAAUCUUGCGAAAUGGGCGAAAGCCUGAAGCAGCCAUGCCGGGUGAAUGAUGAAGGUCUUAGGAUUGUAAAAUUCUUUAACCGGGCACGAUAAUGACGGUACCCGGAGAAGAAGCCCCGGCUAACUUCGUG